UCUGCUCCCUUGACUCACGGGGAAUCAGAGACACCCGUAAAAUCACCUGUUCAUGCAAAUGGUAGGGCUGGGAUGGAAAGGAGUACAACCCCAGUGCCCAUUUCAGAAACAGCGCUGCUGUCGUCAUCCCUAACUCCCCACCUGAUGGAUAGACCGAGGCUCAGAAGAGCUAAGUGGUCAGGUGCUCAUAUCCUCUGGACAAGCACACCAGCGACUGUUCAUGGAUCGCUCGCUGUGGGCCACACACCAAAGCUAAGCAGCCACCAGCCACACACCCUCCCCAUACACCCUCCCCUCCCCGCAGGACCGCUCUGGACUGGUAACAAGAAGCAACCCGCCCCACUGCGCCACACGGACGGACGGACGACAGCUUGUUCCACCAUAUUCUGAACCCGUA
rnacentral:lncRNA from 1 species